CUUAUUAUCAGCUCUUUUUUAACUUACACAUGCAAGUCUCCGCACACCCGUGAAAACGCCCUUUAAGCCUUAUCUAGGCAAAGGAGCUGGCAUCAGGCGCAGAUUCUUGCCCACGACGCCUAGUUUCACCACACCCCCAAGGGUAGUCAGCAGUGAUAAACAUUGUUAAUAAGCGAUAGCUUGACCCAGUUAGAAAUAAUAGAGCCGGCUAACACGGUGCCAGCCGCCGCGGCUACACCGCUGGGCUCAAGUUGAUAACUUUCGGCGUUAAGCGUGAUUAAAGUAUUUUUACAAUAGAGUUAAAUAUAGACCCGGCCGUAAAAAGCCUGUUAUUUAGAAAACCAUAAACGAAGGUUACUCUACUUUACUUGAACCCACGACAGUUAGGAAACAAACUGAGAUUAGAUACCCCACUAUGCCUAACCGUAAAAAAUUGAUUCACACCACCAACGCCCGGGAAUUACGAGCCCAAACUUAAAACCCAAAGGACUUGACGGUGUCCCACCCACCUAGAGGAGCCUGUCCCAUAAUCGAUACCCCGCGCUAUACCUCACCAUUUUUUGCCCCCAGUCUGUAUACCUCCGUCGCAAGCCUACCAUGUGAAUGCUUAAGUAGGCCCAACGGGCCCCUCCCCUCAACGUCAGGUCAAGGUGCAGCUUAUAAAAUGGAAGAAGAUGGGCUACAAUCUCUAAUUUAGAACAAACGAAAAGCUGCAUGAAACACACAGCAUGAAGGUGGAUUUAGAAGUAAAAAGAAAUAGAACAUUCUUUUUAACUAGGCACUGGGACGUGUACACACCGCCCGUCACCCUCUUCGACAACUCCAACACGUUAUUAACCUAACUCCACACCAGAGAAGAGGCAAGUCGUAACAUGGUAAGUGUACUGGAAAGUGCACUUGGACUAACAUACUAUAGCUUAAACAAAGCAUCUCGCUUACACCGAGAAGAUGUCUGCUAACCCGGAUUAGUUUGAUUAUAAAUAUCACUAGCUAAAACCCGUCCUGCACAAACAGCCCACAACACGCUGAUUCCACAAACAAUAGCUUAAAUAAAGCAUCUCCCUUCAUCGAGACAAUCUCUGCUAACCCGGAUUAGUUUGAGCUUAAAAUCUAGCCCACACAAACAUGCAUGCCCCCCCCCCCAUUAAACAUUAUAGACAACAAAACAUUUUAACUAAUUAGUAAAGGCGAUUGAAAACCCCCUAAGAGCUUCAGACCCAGUACCGCAAGGGAAUAAUGAAAUAAACUGAAAUAACCUUAAGCCUAAAAAAGCAAAGAUUAAACCUUGUACCUUUUGCAUCAUGGUCUAGCCAGUCAAACUGGGCAAAAGAAACUUUUAGUCCAACCCCCCGAAACUGAGCGAGCUACUUCAAAACAGCCCAAAGGGCCAACCCGUCUCUGUUGCAAAAGAGUGGGAUGAUUUUUAAGUAGAGGUGAUAGACCUAUCGCGCCCAGAGAUAGCUGGUUAUUCAGGAAAAGGAUUUUAGUUUUGCCUUAAGCCAACCCCGCGAUACAAAUCAAACUUAAGAGUUACUCAAAUAAGGCACAGCUUAUUUGAAACAGGACACAACCUAAGGGCUAGGGUAAGAAAAAAAUUUAGUAGACAAGUGGGCCCAAGAGCAGCCACCUUUAAAAAAGCGUCAAAGCUUACCUAUUUCCCCCCCCCAAAUUUCUCCAACAACACUUAACCCCCUCUCCACUACUGAAUAAUUUUAUAUUUUAUAAAAGCACCCCUGCUAGAACUAGUAACAAGAAAUCGAAUUUCUCCAAAAUGUAAACUUAAGCCAGCAUGAACCAAGCACUGGCAAUUAACGUUCGUGAACCAUUUACAGUAACACACCCAGAAAAUCCUGUAUACCUUCCCGUUACCCUAACACCAGAACAUUCCAGGAAAGAUUAAAAGAGAGAGAAGGAACUCGGCAAAUCCUAACCCCGCCUGUUUACCAAAAACAUCGCCUCUUGCAAAUUAUAAGAGGUCCAGCCUGCCCAGUGACAAAGUUCAACGGCCGCGGUAUCCUAACCGUGCGAAGGUAGCAUAAUCACUUGUUCUUUAAAUAAGGACUAGUAUCAACGGCAUCACGAGGGUUAUACUGUCUCCUCUCUCCAAUCAGUGAAACUGAUCUCCCCGUGAAGAAGCGAGGAUACAAUCAUAAGACGAGAAGACCCCAUGGAGCUUUAAACUCAACAGCACCUUUUUUACCCAGACCAGCAAAGUUAAAAAGAACUGCCUGUUAGCUUUAGGUUGGGGUGACCGCGGAGAAUAAUAAAACCUCCACAACGAAUGGGUACGCCCUUAUCCAAGAGCAACCGCUCUAAGAAUCAAUAAAUUGACGUACUAUGAUCCGAUAUUCGAUCAACGAACCAAGUUACCCUGGGGAUAACAGCGCAAUCCAUUUCAAGAGCCCCUAUCGACAAGUGGGUUUACGACCUCGAUGUUGGAUCAGGGUAUCCUAGUGGUGCAGCCGCUACUAAAGGUU
rnacentral:ncRNA from 1 species